rnacentral:lncRNA from 1 species
GAACGGGAGCAACCUGCACGUUAGCACUCCGACGAUCAAGUCAGCAAGGUUACUCUAUUAUUCAAGGUGAAAGUAAUCAGAUUAAAAGUGAGUUACCUGGUCAACUAUUCUUGUAUUUAUAGGCCUAAAUCAUAACUAUGGGCUGUGAAAUAUCCAGAACCGUCGACCCAUAAUCCCAGAUAUUUCGGCCACUAAAUGNAACUGUCACACGUGCCUCCGAUAUUAUCGCCCCAACUCCGCCCGUAACUACAUACUGUGUGGUCUAAGACUUUUCCGCUAGGUAUCCCUCAUCCUUCGAUCAGUCUCUCUCUGUCCGACCAGUUUCUCUCUCUACUAGACCAGUUUCUCUCUACCCGACCAGUCUCUCUCUCUACCCGAUUAGUCUCUCUCUCUACCCAAUCAUCCCCUCUGUCUCACCGAUCCCUAUACACUACAAAUCUCAUCAUGUUUUCAGGGCUCAAUUUGUCUUUCCAAACAUAACUCAUUUAUUAAAGUCUCGAGACAAUAAAAUAAAAAUAUAAAAUAAUAAUAUAAUUAAAUAGUAGCUCGAUCAAUACAACUUUUAAUGUCCCUGGCCAACUGACGUAAUAAUGCUUCC